rnacentral:tRNA from 1 species
UGUAAAGUAAACUAAUUUAAGUUGUCGGGCUCAUGCCCCGAAUAUGUCUUUUGAUCUUUAUAA